rnacentral:lncRNA from 1 species
GCGAAGCCUAUAAAAGCUUCCCGAACACAACUUAUUCACACAGCCGGUAACUGGAUAAAAACCACUCCAAAUCCAGGACUAACACGAUCAACUCGGCGGCAAUCGACCAACAAUGAAGCAUUCGCUCCGCUAAACAUUUAUCUCCUUUCGAUCCUCUCAAAACUAAAGAUGAGCACGCACAGGCACUGACCAUCAGAGAUCAACAACCACCGGAGAUGACUCCAAUGAACAGAUACAACACUCCCAAAUCCAAACAAGACUCCAAACUACAACCGCAGCUAAACUUCACGCACCCCUCCACAAUGGCCA